rnacentral:tmRNA from 1 species
GGGGAUGUUUUAUCUUCGAUGAUAAGUGAAAGAAUAAGUUGCAAGUUGAGCCGAUUACUCAUAAAAAUGAUCAAAUCAGAUAAGUGCAGAAAACUUAUUUGCGAAAGCUAAGGGACUUUUUAAAGUUCCCCAACUUUCACCAGUUUUAGCCUAAAAUGCUAAAACCGCUCACUGUUGAUUUGCUCAAGGUCAACCUUUUGAGUGUCAUAAACUUGAGCUAGAAAAUAUUUGGCGUUGGCUGAAUAUUUUGACCUUUCACCAACUAGGCUGCUGGUUUUUUGUUGAUUAUAUAGCUCUGCAGUCGAAUUCAACAAAUCAACUAAACUUGUAGAUAUUUAUUUGGAAAUUUAUUAGACAGGGGCGUGAUUCCCCUCAUCUCCACCA